CAGGUAUAAAAGGUUGUGGAUCCCUGGCUUAGAAGCUUGAGAGGGGCAGGAAGGGGGCAAACUCCACCAGUGCAUUCAAAAUUAAGCUGCUAUUCUGUGAAGCACCACAUGAGCACUCUACCAUAUGUGAACCCCCUCUAAAGGUAACUCUAGGUGCCAGAGAAUGCAAGGACACAGCACAACAUGCUGAUUCGGAUCUUUAGCGCUAAAAGUUGCA